rnacentral:lncRNA from 1 species
GUGCACUGAAGGUAGGGAUGGCCAGUAGCAAAAUUAUAAAGCAGGCCUGUUUGUCUUCAAACACUCCUGAGUAAACUUGUCAUUUCCUUGUAAAAAUGCAAAAUAGACUACUGAGUAGAGGUGAUCAAUUAUAGAAAUGCACUUACUUUGGCUUUCUUCUGAAACCUAAUAAAAUGACAGUAAAGGGAUUAUUUUUUUAAGGCAGAAACCCACAAUGAUGAUGAAAUUAGAAAGGAAGACAAGAACAACAAGGUUGUGGAAUUCAGAAGCCAUAGAGACAAGAGGUAACACACCUGAGAAAGAUGAUCCCUAAGUUUGUCUUGGAGAAAACUCAGAAGUACCUGACUACAUCGUAGACCUCCCAAACAGCUUCCAAAUGUCAGAUACCACUGAACAUGGGGAUAAAGACCACUAGAGAUCAGAAAAUUAUUCUCUGGGGUAUCUGACCACUUCCAGAGGAAAGACAUAAAGAUGCUGAUGUCAAGAAUGACCCAACUAAACGGCCCAGCCACAUGACCCAGUUGAAGCUGGUGGACAAGAAGUUUCAUUCAUGGAAUCAGAACUUCCAAUAAGGUCUUUUAGUACCUCACUCCUAAAUUUGAAUAGACUACCAAAGAUUAUCAGACAUCUAAGGAGAACUACCAGCAUGAAAGCUGGGAAAACGGCAAUGGAUUAAUAACAAGAAAUUAAUGGUGAAGUGGUGACUAAAAUUCUACAUUGCUUAGAAAGCAAGUAAGAAAAUCAGUGGUUGUAGAGAAGUUCUUCCAUGAGAUAGUGAAAUGAACAUUUACAUUCUGGCAACCUCAGAAGUACAACGAACAGAGGACACCCGCCAGGUAGGGCAAAGGCCUGUGCACCCCCUUUUGCUGUUACAUGUUUACCAGGUGCG